UUUUUUUUUUUUUAAUAAAUAAAACUUUCCCGUAUCCUUGUGGCUGAGUUAGUUACACAUCAGUUUUGUGUGAUGGGGAAAGCUGCUGUAGCAGGAGAUCGAGUCCUCCUUCCCCCUUCCCCACCCCCUGUAACUCAGAAAUAACGCUGGUGGAAGAUGUACAGAGGAGAAGGCUGCAGCCUGUUAUCAGAAAAUUUUGCCUUGGUUUUUACUCUCUUCUUCAACACCAAUUUUUUUUAUAUAUGUAAUUGGAUGCUGAAGCAGGAUUUAGCAUUUUUGUUCAUUUGUACUCAUCUUUUCCUACCAUCACCCCCGCUCCCUGGCGUUUCCAAGCUGUCCGUAGGGAAGCCUGGCUGACUGCCAGUAGCCUGGGAGAGAGGAGAGGAGAGGAAACAGCCCCUGUCACCUGGGUGCGAUGUGUCCUGGGGGAAACGCAGGUGCGUUGUUCUUCUCCGACCUGUUUGCAUCGCAAGGUUAAUCCUUAACAGAAGUCAUGCUUAAUUUUUUUUAUUCUCUGAAGAGUGGGGAUGGUUUUGGCUUUUUGUUUUUGUGGGGUUUUUUUCUUGGAGCUGUAACUUUAUAAAUUGGCUCAUUUCCAUUGAUUUGUUAAAUUAAAGGGUCAGUGGCUGGGGGGGAAUUUUAGUCCCAGUUUUUCAAAUGUAACAAACUGAAAAUUAAGUCACUUUUUUAACCUCCUUUACUGUUUCUUUAUAGACGUGUUUUUGGGAGAGUCUAGUUCUGUACUAAGUUUCCACUGUUACGCUAAUGCUUGCAUACAAAUGGUAUUGGAAAAAAGAAGAAAACUUUUUUUAAAAAAAAGUCUUUAACCUUAGAAAUCCUGCAUUUAUGUAUUGCAGGAUGACGCUUGGGGGUUCCCAGCCAUAUGCAUACAUGUUUAAAAUUUCAUCUUUGCAUCACUGUCAUGUUCAGUGAAAUUUUCCUUACUUAUAGCAUAUUGUCGCACACUGUAACAUUGCUCGGAAAUUGUCAUAACCUGAUUUGGAAAAAAAAAAAAAGUUUAUUUUUAAGACCUUCCAGUUACAGCAACGGCAGGAGAUCAGCUUAUCAAAGCAAGGGAAUUCAGGAUUUUAGAUCGCACCAGUUGAAACACUUUCUUGUGACCUGGUAAGCUUUGAUUGCCAAUUCGAUGUAUGUGGCUUCUGUUGUAUGCCACUCCGUUACCAUGUAGAUAGAGGGGGAGAGUGACCCAGGAGCUAUGUAAUAAAAUCAGAGUGUCUCUAAAAAGAUGAUCUAUAUGUAUAGUUCUAUAGAUAUAUAUUUUUAAGCAAAGCCUUUUCCUUAGCUGUGUGGGCACUUGAGCUGGAAAUGAUAGUAUCUCUCAGCUCUUUGCCACCUCGAAGCAGGUAAGGGGAGGAGUUGAAACUAGUGAUCACCUUCCCCACUUCAGGAAUAUUUCUGUUUCUUAAAGUAUUUCACUCUCCCCCUUCGUUGCAAUGAAGAGCUUCAGAUCGGAUAGGGAGGGAGACCCGUGAUCAUUUUAAACUAGUACCUUGUCCACUGCCCGUGGCUGCCGUGGCCUUUGCCGCUACAGGAUAGGAAAUUCCUGCACUGGGGCAAACUGAUCCAUUCGGAGGCUUUUCCCCCCCUUCCACUCCCCCCUUUCUUCUUCCUGCCUUUUAGUAUAUAGGGCCUUUAAAAAGUAUAUAGGUAAAUAUAUAUAUAUAUAUCAAGUUGUGCUGGGUAAGAGGAGGAAGUGCUUCAACAGAACUUCGGAUUGAGGGGUUGGACAAGAAAAGAUUCAGCCUUAGAAAUAGCCUUAAAGCCACACUGCCCUGAAUGUCCACAUUGUGCACGUCAAGAAUGAGACGAGGUUUUGCAAUAGGUAGCCCCUUCCCCUGCUCCCCAGCAUAGCUCCUUCAGGUCAUCUACUCUGUUAUGUGGCUAUAUGUAUAUGCAUCAACCAAGCAUGUGUGUUUACAUAUAUGUGCAUCAGGAUCGUUAGCAUACAGAAUGGAUGUGUAACUUGCCGCCUUUUUUGUUGACUGUUGAUAAAUGUGUAUAAAUAUGCCAUUAAGCAUUUCAAUUCUGUUUUCUUUCCUUAUACUGUAUUUUUGAUAUUGUUCAGUAUUCAGUUGAUGCUAUGUAUGUAGCUGGAGCUCUGUUUGAAGACGGACUGCGUCUUGAUGCAGAUCAGACACACGUCCUUGGACACUGUAGCUUUAGGGGUCUGGGUUGUCCCAGGCAGGAGCAAUUGGGAGAAAGUGGUACUUGGAGAGGGAGUCUGAGAGCUGUGGGAGGAAGAAGAGCAGGAUGUUUGCUCAGACCACGUCCUGCACAGGCUGCAAUUUGUUCUCUGGCUUAUUUCAGAGGUGGCUUGUCACUGUGGGGAGCUCCAGAGGCAGCUCCCUGGGCCACCUCCUGUCCCUGUGGCUGCUGUGGGAAAGGUGCUGCGGGAGGGGAACAGCCAGCGGCUGGGAAGGUCGUGGGAGGGGGCAGAAUGAGUUUUGCAGGGAGAGGGUAAUGCUUUCUUUAGAGUUACUAGCUGACAGUCCCCAUGUUCGAUGGAAUGGUCAUCAGCUGUAGCAGGAGGGGUCAGCCCUGGGAGAAGAGGGACAGAGAAGAACUGUCAUGCUUAAGAACAAUGAAGUAGCUGAGAAACCCUUACAGAAAAAACUACCCACUUGGGUCUCCCCUAGUCUGGUCUCCUGUGAAGCUGGACCUGAGUUAAAACAAACUAGAGAGGAAGCUGUGAAGGGCUGAGGGGACUCACCCUGUUGCAAGCACUCAGGAUCCAAAAGCGACAGGGCGCUUCUGCCAGUUGGUCGGUCCCAAAGCUGGCUGAGGUGAAGGGGAAAAAAACACUAGGUAGGACCCCUGCCCUGCCUCAGACCCUCUCCUGAAUACUUGCGCAUUUGUGUGUGCAACACGUCCUGCUCCCCUCGCACCCCCAAAAAACAAACAAAGGAUGAAAUUGUGAGCUGUAAAUACAAACCCCUCCCUCUCCAGGGAAGCAUCCUCCUGGAGGUAGUGACAGCUGAGAAAAUGGCUGUGAGCUGAGGUGGGGAGGAGGAGAGAGGCUGGUGGGGAAGAGGAGAGUCAACUGUCCAGGUCUAAGUUCAAAGACUGUAUCGAAAGGUCAAACAGAGCUGCUGACAGCUUAACUGAAUGCUUGGGAUUUUUCAUACUGUGGAGCAUGCCACAAAGCAGUGUGUUUAACUUCUUUCUGCCUUUUUUUUAAAGAAAUGAAACAAAAAUCAAUUUAAUAAACAUUUCUCAUAGUGUG